rnacentral:rRNA from 2 species
UGGGGGAUAUUGCACAAUGGAGGAAACUCUGAUGCAGCGACGCCGCGUGAGGGAAGAAGGUUUUCGGAUUGUAAACCUCUGUCUUCGGGGACGAAACAAAUGACGGUACUCGAGGAGGAAGCCACGGCUAACUACGUGCCAGCAGCCGCGGUAAUACGUAGGUGGCAAGCGUUGUCCGGAAUUACUGGGUGUAAAGGGAGCGCAGGCGGAACUGCAAGUUGGGUGUUUAAUCUACGGGCUCAACCCGUAUCAGCAUUCAAAACUGUGGUUCUUGAGUAAUGCAGAGGUAGGCGGAAUUCCCGGUGUAGCGGUGGAAUGCGUAGAUAUCGGGAGGAACACCAGUGGCGAAGGCGGCCUACUGGGCAUCAACUGACGCUGAGGCUCGAAAGCAUGGGUAGCAAACAGG